UGAACCAAUAAAUAGUUGUAUUGCUCGCCAGAAACCCAACGAGGCUGGCAGACAGUUUUUACCAUGCAACGAGCAGACGCUUGCGAAAAGUACUUGCUACAAAAUUGGCAAAAUUGCCUGCUGCUGUAUACAUAGCGCGCGUCUGUGUAUGUUGCUAACCUAGCUAGUUAGCUAGCCAUCAAUGAAGUUCCCAAUGUUACAACAUGGCAGACGGCUGGAGCCCCGACACCGGAGAGGCUGCCUAUCGUUCCCGGGAUGCUGUCAAAAACCUUACAAUUAAGAUCCGUAUUCAGAGAGUCACCUCCACAGCAGCCCUCUCCCAACACCUUCAGCAGCAGGUUUGGACUCAACAGGAGAGGGGAGGCAUUGAGCUGGACACCCUCAACUCACAGGCUCAAUCAGGUGUUAACACUGUUGUGAAACAGGAAGAUGAUGUUAGGUGUUUUGAAACAGAAAGAUGUCAGAUGCUUCUUAGUUGAGUAGAUGUCAUUUUUGUGGUGACUAGAUAUGGACCACAACAUCUUGGUUUUGUUUCAGCCAGAAAUGAUGAGGAGUUAGUGGUAGGCUGGCAGGAGAAGCUGUUCAGUCAGUGUCCUUAUAACAAAUAAGAAUUUACUGUAUAUGAUCGUUUGUUACAUACUAAGGUGUGUGUGUGUGCACAAUAUGAAGUGGUUUUGUUCCAGAGAGAGUCAGUAUACCAGACUGCCAGAGAUCAUGGCUCAGGAGCGGACCGGGGCAGACGGAACCGCAGGAUUUUCACCUACACCGAUUCUGACUGCUACACCAAUUGGGAAGGGGUGGUUUUCAACAGAAUCUCCAUUUCUGUAACGGUUCUAUAACCAAAGACUCUGGGAGACGGGAAGCAAGUAUAGGGGGAGGAUUUUAUAGGGGGAGCUGGAGCAGACGUGACAAUUUCAUUAUUCAAAACAAAGCAUUUACCUAUUUUCUGUCCAAAAGAAACGUUAGUGUUUUAAAGCUGUUUUUGAUGUACUCAAUACAGCAUUCCAAGAGUAUGGUGACGCAGGUCAAGUCCAAUCCUACCUUACUGGCACAUAGGAUGGCCAAUGUCAGACCCAGACGACAGGACAGACGCCCAGUUGACAGCACCAUCCCCAAGUCCAGGCUGAUUACCUGGGAGCCCUCGGAGGACUUUGUGAAGACCAGCCACAUGGUCAUCACACCUGUACAGACCAUGCACAUCAUGGGGAC